ensembl:lncRNA
CUCUGUUGUUCCUAGAUUUCAUUCUUCAAUUUUGGAGAACACGAACUCGCGUUUCAGAUACCUAGCAGGUUUGGGAGUUAAAUCUCUUCCCCCUGUAUCACUCUUGCCACAGCCUCCACCUGCUGCAAGAUUAGAGGCAUGAGUGACCACACCUGGUUUAAAUACUUUUGAAAGUGUUUUUGAUGGUGAUGGCCUUUGAAGAGUCUGUCAAAAAAAAAUUCAACCUAAGAAUGCUUUUCUUUUUUUUCUCCCUUUAAAUUUUUUUGUUUGUGUUGCAGUGCUAGUCACGGAACCAGGGCUUUCACACGGAGCUACAUCCCUAGGCCUUUUUAGGGUCUUGCUAAACCACUAACUUCCCCAGGCUGGGCUGGAGCUUGAGAUUCUUCUGACUCACCCUCCCACAGUGGCAGGAUUACAGCUAUGUGCUACCUGUGACAAAGCCAUCUUUAAGGCCACUUCAUUCUUUCGACCUGGCUAAUUAACUGGACACAAAGGCUGGGCGGUGCCUCAGGGCCCACUGAGGACACCGAUCCCUGGCCAAGCUGAAUUUCUAACCUAGCCGGAUUUCUAUUCCCAGCAUCCUCAGAGGCUCUUCCUUCUGGCUGCUCUUCCUCCAGGGCGGAGCUGCAGCUUCUCCGGGGCCAAGGCUGCAGGACCUUUUGGGGUGUGGACUUCCAGUGUGGGGUGAAGUGAGGUGAGAGUCUGCAACCCCAGUGACAACAGGAGGCCCCGCUGCUGCUCCUGGCCUCACUUGAGCACUGGGCUUCCUGCUCCUGACGAGAGAUGGAGUCAGCUGAGCUAAUACAGAAGAAAUAAGGAUGGUGGACAGCAGACAAGGAAAUUGUAAGUUAAAAAAUGGUAUUUUGGGGGGUCGUUUUGAGACAGGGUCUCGCUAUGUAGUCCAGGCUGACCUUGAACUCAUGAUGUAGUCCAGGUUGGCCUCGAACUCAAGGCAAUCUUACUGCCUCAGCCUCCCCAGGGCUGAGAUCACUGGCAUGUGCCACCAGCUGAGCUCCACGGUUUUCUUUAAAGUACAAUUUUUAACACCAGGCUAGGAGGGUCACCGCAAGUUUGAGGCCAGCCUGGGCUACAUCGUGAGUUCAAGGCCUGUGUGAAGUAUAUAUUGAACCUGUUCCAUACCUGUGAUGCCAGACUAACCUGAUUUGAAGCCUGAAACACACACAAGUUCUUAGGGCAUUAAAAAAGCAGUGUUAUGUAGUAGGGCCAGGGAGGGUAGCUCAGAUGUAGGGCCCUAGCCUAGCAUCACAAGGCCUGGGUUAAGCCUCCAGCACCACCAGAUAAAUAGAUCACUUUUUUUUUUUUUUGGUACCGGGGAUAGAACUCGGGACCUUGUGCUUGUGAGGCAGGCAGUAGAACCACUGAGCUAAAUCCCCAGCCCAAUAGAUCACUUUUUGAGUACACACUUGUGAUCCUAGCACUGGGGAGGCUGAAGCAGGAGGAUCACCAAGAGUUCAGGCCAGCCUGAACUACAUAGAGAGACCCUAUCCCAAAAAACAAAACAAAACAAUUAUAAAAAGGAAGACAGGGACUCCAGGACAGUUACUCAAGGUUAUUCCUAUCAGUAUUCUCUAGGUUUGUUUAUGCUUCCUUUUUUUCUAGGCCUAUCACACCCCAAGUCCCCUAAAGAUACUUAAUUUCUAAACUAGUUUACUUGAUAAAGGGCAGAAAACCCGAAUUUAAGACAAAGGAACUGACUGAGAGUUCAAAGAAGGCUUUCAGGCAAAACAUCUUAGAUCCGUCAUCUAAAAAAAUAAUGGGUGGGGCUGCACCUUUGGCCUGAAAAUGGGACUAACAAAUCUGCAAAUUUCCCCCACCCAAGCAUCAGUAUUCCGAGCUCCAAAGUGCAGCCAGCUUCUCUCUUGAGGGCCAGCAUUUUCUAUCUUUCAGGGAAUGCUUUUAAAUUUCUGCCUAAUAAACUUCUCUUUGCCUCUUUAAAAAAAAAAAAAAAAAAAGAAUUGUGAGGAAAUGAAGUGGUGUGGGUUUUUAAAGGAUUUUCUCAGAGGUAAGCAGGAGACAUUUGGAUCUAAAGAAUCUUCGCAUUUCAAAAACAAAAAUUUUAUAUAAUUACCCUCUGCAGGUAACUGUAAAAGUCGGGAAAAGUCAAAAGGAUGGCACGGUCUCUUUAAAGAGCUAACUCAGAAAUCAGAAGAAAGAUAAAUUGGGUCAGUGUCAGUAGCCAAACGUGCCAUUCCAGAGACUGUUGGAGACCAAAGGACAAGAUCCAAGAGGACUAGUGCGGGACUACAUAACCUUUGUUCCUUUUUCUCCAGCCCCAUUGUGAUUAAAAUGUGAGUUAAUGGAUGGAGAUGCUUGUUAGUCUAGGGACGCUAGAUAGGGAUCUGUAACAGACCUAGAGUCCCAGAUAGUCUAGGGACGCUAGAUAGGGAUCUGUAACAGACCUAGAGUCCCAGAGUAAACUACUCAACUCUUUGUUUAUCCGGAACUGAUAUUCCAGGCACCACAAUUGUUAGAACAAGCUGCAGAUGCCUGCUGACCAUCAAUAUGUGACCAUCGGCCACUAACCUUUGUCCCCUUUUCUUUGAUAUGUUAACUUCCCCCUCAACCCCCUAUAAAAACAGCCUCGGAUUCUGAGCCAGUUGCCUCUCUAAGCUAUUUUGCUUCGGGAGUGCCGUCUGGCCAGACUAAUAAAGGUCUGUUUCCCAACUUGUCACGGUGUGUUCCUUCCCGGGUGUUUUUCGCUGUAGUCAGCUCCUCGGAGCGUUUGUUAAGGCCCUCGGUCUUACAUUCUGAAGGCACCGCUGGGAUUCCUGGGUGUGCUUCACUAGUCAGCUCCUCGGAGCGUUUGGUAAGGCCCUCGGUCUUACACUAGUUAGUUAAAUCAGCCUACUCAAGUCAAAGAAUUUAUGACUAGAAUAAAUUACUCAUGGCUGAGUCUGAGCUUUUGAAAACAGUUUGAAAUUGUGAGAUUAUCGAGGUACUUCUCUUAGCAGGAGUAGACCGGGAAAUAGUAUAUAAAAUUAUUUGAUUUAUAUUCUGAACAUCAAUUCUCUUUUAUAAGUAUUUGAAUUAUAAAUAUAUAUUGUUUUAAAAUAUCGUCUAUUUUGAACUUAAAAAAAAUAAUCUGUUAAUUUAAAGGAUACCAUGAGUUCACAGCAGGCAGUCACUGUGACUGGUCGCAUUUGUGCUUGUAGAAAAACUGUGAGGUCAUUUUUGAUUGCUAUGUUCCUUUCCUGAAAUUAGGAAUUACAGCAAUGAUUAUCUGAAGAAUAUCCCAGUGAAGGGAUAUAAUCCUGGGAUCCAGUCACAUGUACUUUGUAUUGCUCUAGAGUAAACUUGUUGCCACAACUGUAUUACUGUUCCCUCCACAGGUCAUUUUGCCAAACUUAAAGCACAUUUUUAAGAGCACGUGAAUCUACUUGUUUCCAAUUUAUUAAAUGCUAUGGACUGAAAAAGUGUUUGCAUUCUACCGACAAAAAUGGAAAGUUUCCUUAAGAUUUAACUGUUAAGAACUUUAAGCCUACUGACUUCUUUUCCUUCCUAGCAAAAUUCCACAAACUCUGUCUUCCAUUUAAUUCUGACCUAGGAAACUGUCACAGAUGCAUCCCAAAAAGGGAUCGAACUCGGGAUGUUGCCAUCCAUUUUUUCAUUAAGAACAAGGAGCCAGGACGAGCCAUCAGUCAGACUAGCUUUAUCCAGCAUUAUCCCAUAAUCAUGAUCUAAACUAGACAAGAGUUUGGGAACAUAAUCCCAGGUUUAUAAAAUAUAAUUAUUUUGGUUUCGAGUAAAGAUGUUCCAAUGGCCAAUCUGCUUAGCUGCUUUUAGCUUGUUUUUUUCAUAGAUCACUGCAGAAAUUUACUGAGCUGCUCUUGAGAUGUUCAUACAGUAAUCACCUCUUCAUAGAGAUGUUUUUUGUCUGCUAGAACAACCAAAACAGUUUUUCAUCUUUUAUAUCAGAGUCAGAGAGAAAUGUGACCUCAAAGAAGAAAACAUGUAAUUUUACAUUUACAUUCUCAGACUUCUGUUAUUCUUGGAUAAUAACAAAAAUUGACAUUGUUUUAGUUGUCUGAACUAAGAGUAGAUAAGCUUUGUUUAGUCUCACUUGUUUGCCUUUUAGGCACACACACACACACACACACACACACACACACACAUGGACACACAAAACAAGACAGUGCUGGGUAGUUGGGGUUCGAAGUACUAAAAAUGCUUUACAUAUAUCUCAGAUUGUAGGAUCUGACCUUGAUUCGGAGGAUCCUAUGGCCCUUGACUUAAAAUGAAAGCCUUAUAGCCGGGGAUUUAGUUCAGUGUUUUCACUGCCUGCUGUGCAAGCACAAGGACCUGAGUUCAAUCCCCGGUACCAAAACAAAAAAAAAAAAUGAAAGCCUUAUAAGGUAAAGGAAGUCUUUAAUAAAGUUCAUUGUGAUGCCGGGUGUUGUGGCACACACCUAUAAUUUCAGUGCUCUGGGAGGCUGAGGCAGGAGGAUUGCCAAGUUCAGGCCCAGCCUGAGCAACUUAGUGAAUUAGCAAGAUCUUGUCUCAAAAAAAAAAGAGUAUUGUCCCCAAAAGGCUAUGUAUUCUGCUUUGAAAUCAUUUCGGAUGUUUUGGUAGUACCAGAAGGUACAUAGUCUGCCUCCACUAUUUGUCCCAAUAAACCUACAGGCCACAGAAAUACAAAUGAGAGAAGAUACAGGGUUACAAUAUUCCACUUACUUUGGGAUAAUAAUUUUGUGAAAAUAAUUGCCCAGCAAGAAUGUACUUCUUUCUCCGGGUACCGUUUCCCUUUCUCUCAUUUCAAUGACCUACCAUUUGUCCUGUUACAAGCACAAUUUAAAAAUGUCCUGGUCUACUUGAUGUGUCAGUCUCAAAUGAUAAGGUUCUCCAGUUAAAGCCAAGAAGAGAGUAUGUGGGAAUGGGUACUGAGUAGAAGGCUAAGUGCUGCCGCUUCUGUGGCUACUCUGAGGGCAAGGUGGGGAGAGAUCAGUUUGCCAGGCAAACAGAAAUUAAGAUAACUGCGCCUCAGGCAGCUCUGGAGUGAGAAAGAUUAAGUCAAAAGCUCAGCCCAAGUUUAGUCCAUGAGAUCUGCUGGAAUCGUGAUCCACCUACUAGGAAGUGAGGGGCCGGGCUGACCAUUACCAGGAACUCCUGACUCUUCCACUUAAUGACUUUCGUUAUGCACAUUGCUUCUCUCCCCAGAAAUUUAAGUAAUAGAGAGUAACACCUUUCCUUCAAGCAUUUGAUGUUUAAGUGUUCAAUAUAGAAAUUUAACAAUGAUCUGUGGAUGCUGAAUUUUAAGGAACUCUUGUACAUCAUGAAAUAUGCCUCAGCCUGAAAUAUGCGUGGCGUACUUCCCUUGACAUGGCAUCAGCACCUUGCUGUGCUGUGUAUUGAAAAGGGCUUCUGAAGCCGACGAUAUUACAUGUGACCUUAGACCAGUGAAAUUAGAUUUCUGCUGAAUUAAAAAUGUCUUUCAGAGCAUUGUAUCGUCUCCAUUCAUAGAAGGAGUUUUUGUUGGAAGUAUGGAGUACAUGUCUUUGAUCUGCUGAGAAGUUUCUGUUCUACUUCUAGUCUCCUGAUAGCUUUUACCAUGAACAGCUGUGGAAUUUAGUCCGAUACUCUUUCUCCAACUAGUGACAGGAUCAUAUGGCUUUCUCCUUUCCUCUGUUAAAAUGAUGACUUUUGGGGGUGGAUCUUCCAAUGCUGAACCAACACUGCCAUCCCUAUAACAAAACCACUUUCUACAUCCUGCCAGAUCUGACUUCUAAGAGUUUGUCUUGUUAAACA